GCAGCUCUUUUAGCAUUGCCAUUUUUUUUUAUCAUUGAAUGACUAAAAUAUGAGGAUUAUUCAGUCACCUUGAGUUUCAAAACCAAACUCAGCUCUUGAGUUUUGUAAUGCAUUUCCAGUGACUGAUAUUUUAAAUACUCAAUUGUUUUAAUAGGAAAUCAAAAUACAGUACAGACCUUGAUUUAGUGAGUAUCGACCCUAAAGGAAGCAAAAAGUAACUUUUUUAAUUCUUUGUUUGGAUGUUUGAGUUUGAGCACCGAGCUGCUUGGAAAACUUGCACUUAAUAAUGGAUAAAAGAACGCUGCCUUCCCUGUAAAAAUGGACACACAAUGGAAAGAAACAUUUGUUUGAAAAGUAUCACUUGUGUUUUUCCUGUUUAACUAAUCACUCUUGUGAGCUUUGCAUUCAUAUUUUCUGUGGUUAAAAGUAGAAAUUAUUUUAGAACAGUGUUUUAUACUAGGGCGGGUGGGAAUUGUCAUGUGACUAUAACCUAUUUAUCACUGAAACCAUGUGACCUGCUGCCUAAAUGUUAUUUUAUAAUGAAGCAUUAUCACAUUAUCGUACUGAAAUGUCUUAAGAACUUUUUAAUGUAAGUUAAAAAUAAUCGCUUACAUAAAGCUGACACAAAGUUGCAUUGAUGAAAUAAUUUCUGCUAUUGGCAACUUGCAUGAGAAAGUACUAAUUCAGUGGGACAUUUGAACAUAUCUCCUGUUCUCUCUAAAGUAGGGGAGAGUGGGGUAAAUUUAUUGUGUUCGGGGUUUUUUUUUUUCGUUCUCUGCUUUUUUAUGUGUAUGUAGAUCAUAUUAAAGGAACAAGUCUGAUAUGUGACUUGUGAAAUGUCAAUAUGAUGUGGUUGCAGGAUGUGUGCUGGGUUACAAGAUGUAAAAACAUGUAUAUAAGUCAAAGUUUCAUUUUUCUAAUAAAGGCUCUUUCUGCCAAUUUAUAUAUGA